UUUUCUUUAGUAUAAAAAGUAUUUUUAACUUCCAAUUAAAAGGUUUAAAUUAAAAGAAAAA
rnacentral:tRNA from 1 species